UAUCUCCUAAUUACUUUGUCUUUAUCUAAACUUGAUUUCUGUUGUAUUAUAGAUGACUCCUCCUCCAAUUAUAAGUGGGCGUUUUUUUGCUGGUGGUUCUCAGUCGUCUGGCAUGCAAAGACAAUCAUCUCUUCAACCCUCAAAUUCACAUGCUGCAAUCGUUGAACCAAAUGAAGAAAGAGAACAACUUGCACCAAUGAACUCGAAUACUCGAGUGCUUCAUCCGUCAAGAAGGAAUGGAGCUAAAUGGUUCAAAAAUAACACUGAAGCAUCAAGACGUGUCAGAAAGAUAUUUGAAGCAUGUUUUAACGGACCAUGGUACAGUUGGAAAAAGUGCCUGGUUUUUACACAGACUCGUGGUUUACAACAUUUAAGGUUUGUUUAGUUAAACAUUUGAAUAAUACUUUCAUUAUUUAUUUAAUUAAUGUUUGAUAUAAUUUAUAUUCUAGACCUACUUCGAGUGGGAUACCUUAAUAGAACAUUUUGUUAAAGCUAACUUUGAUGAGCUCGCUGCUACUCGCCUUAAAGCAAUGGUUGGCCUUGCAAAGUCCAAUGCAGCAAAACCCAAUGGAGAAAAACCUGAUUGGAUUCUUUCUGAAUAUUGGAGAGUAAUGUCAGCUUAUUGGAUGACACCAAAAGCCAAAAAUAAAAGUGCGAAAGCUCGUACGUCUCAACUAUCUACUUGUGAUAGUUUAGGUGCCCAUCGACAUAGAGCAGGUUCAAGUGCUUAUGUCAAAGUGCAAGAUGCUUUGGUUGCCAACAACGAAGACUCUUCUUUCAUUGCUGUAAUGAAAAAAACACACCAGAAAUCUGACAGAACAUAUGUUGAUGAAAAAGCACGACAAAUUGUAGAAAAAUUUGAUGAACAUGUGGAAGAACUCUUGUCACAGAGAGAGUCUUCAAAUGGUGAGGGUUUAACCCAAGAGGAGAAAAACGAAAUUUAUGUUAAGGUAAUAGUUAUAGAUUAAAUUAUGCAUAGCUACAUAUGUUUUGUUGGGUUAUAAAUUUACUAUUCUUUUUUUUGGGUUU